rnacentral:rRNA from 1 species
GUGGGGAAUCUUGCGCAAUGGGCGAAAGCCUGACGCAGCCAUGCCGCGUGAAUGAUGAAGGUCUUAGGAUUGUAAAAUUCUUUCACCGGGGACGAUAAUGACGGUACCCGGAGAAGAAGCCCCGGCUAACUUCGUGCCAGCAGCCGCGGUAAUACGAAGGGGGCUAGCGUUGCUCGGAAUUACUGGGCGUAAAGGGCGCGUAGGCGGACAGUUUAGUCAGAGGUGAAAGCCCAGGGCUCAACCUUGGAAUUGCCUUUGAUACUGGCUGUCUUGAGUACGGGAGAGGUGAGUGGAACUCCGAGUGUAGAGGUGAAAUUCGUAGAUAUUCGGAAGAACACCAGUGGCGAAGGCGACUCACUGGCCCGUUACUGACGCUGAGGUGCGAAAGCGUGGGGAGCAAACAGGAUUAGAUACCCUAGUAGUCC